CCUACGGGAGGCAGCAGUGGGGGAUAUUGCACAAUGGGGGAAACCCUGAUGCAGCGACGCCGCGUGUGGGAAGACGGUCCUCUGGAUUGUAAACCACUGUCCCCAGGGACGAAGAUGACGGUACCUGGGGCUGCAGCUCCGGCUCACUACGUGCCAGCAGCCGCGGUAAUACGGAGCGAGCGAGCGUUGUCCGGAAUUACUGGGUGUAAAGGGAGCGUAGGCGGGACUGCAAGUUGGGUGUCAAAUCUACCGGCUCAACCGGGAGCCGCCAUCAAAACUGCAGUUCUUGAGUGAAGUAGAGGCAGGCGGAAUGCCUGGUGUAGCGGUGAAAUGCGUAGAUAUUAGGAGGAACACCAGUGGCGAAGGCAGCCUGCUGGGCUUUAACUGACGCUGAGGCUCGAAAGUGUGGGGAGCAAACAGGAUUAGAUACCCUUGUAGUC
rnacentral:rRNA from 1 species